AAAGAGAGGCGAAGCCGCGAGGCAGAGCAAAUCUCAAAAAAGCCGUCCCAGUUCGGAUUGCAGGCUGCAACCCGCCUGCAUGAAGUUGGAAUCGCUAGUAAUCGCGGAUCAGCAUGCCGCGGUGAAUACGUUCCCGGGCCUUGUACACACCGCCCGUCACACCAUGAGAGUCGGGAACACCCGAAGUCCGUAGUCUGACCGCAAGGGGACGCGGCCGAAGGUGGGUUCGAUAAUUGGGGUGAAGUCGUAACAAGGUAAC
rnacentral:rRNA from 1 species